rnacentral:rRNA from 1 species
GACGAACGCUGGCGGCGUGCCUAAUACAUGCAAGUUGAGCGAUGAAGAUUUGUUCUUGCACCAAUUUGAAGAGCAGCGAACGUGUGAGUAACGCGUGUAGAAUCUGCCUUUCAGCGGGGGACAACAUGUGGAAACGAAUGCUAAUACCGCAUAACAUCUUUCAACAUAAGUUUUAAGUUUGAAAGAUGCAAUUGCGUCACUCAAUGAUGAUCCCGCGUUGUAUUAGCAUGUUGGUGAGGUAAAGGCUCUCCAAGGCGGUGAUACAGAGCACAACUGAGAGGGUGGACAGCCAGACUGGGACGGAGACACGGCACAAACGCAUUCAGGAGGCAGCAGUAGGGCAUCGUGGGGAAUGGGCGGAAGUUUGACCGAGCAAGGCCGAGGGAGUGAAGAGGGUCUUCGGAUGGUAAAACUCUGUUGGUAGAGAAGAAAGUUGGUGAGAGUGGAAAGCUGAUCAAGUGACGGUAACUACUAAGAAAGCGACGGCUAACUACGUG